rnacentral:rRNA from 1 species
GAUGAACGCUAGCGGCAGGCUUAAUACAUGCAAGUCGAGGGGCAUCAAGGUACACGAAAGUGUAUUGUUGGCGACCGGCGUACGGGUGCGUAACGCGUAUGCAACCUGCCCCGCACCGGGGGAUAGCCCGCCGAAAGGCGGAUUAAUACCCCAUGGUCCCGGGGGCCCGCAUGGGCAUCCGGGUAAAGCCUUGGCGGUGCGGGAUGGGCAUGCGUGCCAUUAGCUGGCUGGUGGGGUAACGGCCCACCAGGGCAACGAUGGCUAGGGGGUCUGAGAGGAUGGUCCCCCACACUGGUACUGAGACACGGACCAGACUCCUACGGGAGGCAGCAGUGAGGAAUAUUGGUCAAUGGGCGGAAGCCUGAACCAGCCAUGCCGCGUGCGGGAUGAAGGCCCUACGGGUUGUAAACCGCUUUUCCCCGGGAAGAAUAACCCCGAUGAGUCGGGGGAUGCCGGUACCGGGGGAAUAAGGAUCGGCUAACUCCGUG